CUUAUGAAGGGCGGAAACGCCGGACGUUUGUGAGCACACCCUGGAGCCGCGGACCAGGGGUCCCCGCUGGGUGGCUAAGACACGGGUGGCCACGCUGCGCGCGACGCUCGGGCUUCAGCCGGACCCCACGAGCUGGGCGCACAGCUGAGCGGAGCAGCCGCGGCCGCCACAGAGCCUGGCGGGCGACGCGGAGCCCCGGGGAGCUGGUUUUCCCGGGCGGGCACGUGACGGGGUUGGCAGCGCUCUGGCCCGGGCUAAGAGGAGGGGGAAGAGGCGAGCAGGAGGCCGGGGGCGGGCGGGCGGCUGGCUCGCUGUGUACUUAGGUCGUGUGCUGGGGCUUUUCUCUCCCAGGAGCCGGCGGAGGGAGGGGGAGGGGCCACCGCUCCGCCUUCUCCUUUUCGCAAUGUUGACGCAAUCUAUAAAUAGUGGAACAAAAGGACCAACUUCCUCGGAGCUUUGCUGAAACUGCACAAAAAAUCGAGCUGGGGGGUUCCCUGGUCCCUGGCGACGGGGCGGGGAGCGCGGCGCCAGGGGAGGGGGCGGGCGCGGUAGCGCGGGCCCCGCCGAGGGGGGACACCUGGCUGAGGCACAGCUGCCGCCGCACCGCUCAGCGCGAACCCAGGGCUCCGGUCCCUGCGCGGGCUCGAGAGUUCGCCCCGAACCGGGGUCUUCCUUCUCCGCCGUUGACAGUAGAAUAAAUACCUAUCGACUGACAAGUCGUCUAUGGACCUCUGGCCCACAGCCGCACGGUUCCUCCACGUCCGCGGCUGAGCAAAGGAGUUGCACGCACGCGCAAGAAAGGAGGCCGGAGGAGUGAGACUGAGGAAAAGAAGUGAGAGCGGCGAACAGCGACGAUUCUGCGCAUGUUCAAGGCGCGGAUAUUGGGGUAGGAGUUUGCGCAUGAGCAGAAGUGUAGGGAAAGCCAGAGAAGGGUUUGGAGGCGGUAUUGACAGCUGUGGAGGCAGCCCGCGUUCCCGGCAUGCCCUGGGGCGGCGGGGUUGGCUCUAACGAAUUUGAAUGAGGAGCCUCAGCGCUUUCGGCGCCAUUUUCGAGUGAUGCCUGAUCUCAUCAAUCUAGCGGGAGAGACGGGAUAACCUGUCCGAGAUUAUAGCGCUACUAGGACUCCGCCGAAAAAUCACUAAAAAAAUCGCCAAAAAUUACUUCGACCAAAGGGCAGUCCGUGGGGCUUCGCCAGGGUUGCCGCAGACGUCUUUGAAACAUGUCGCAAGGAUAAAAGCAAUAUGUGAAACUAUUGAUGUUUUCCUCCCGAAAAGUCUUAGCCCGGACAACUUAACGGUUUUGACCUUUAGGAGAGAGCCAAUUCUGGAGAACAACCUAACUUCUUUGAUUGAACACUCACAUAAUGCAUUGGAACAUGAUAGGAGAUUAAGGUUUGAUAUUGAUAAAAUGAAGACCAUAAUAAAACAGUCCCCUACUUAGCCCAGCAGUUCUUAUCUUGCUGAGCAUACCUAAGUCUUUCCACCUGUUCUCAUAGUAUGAAUUCUAGAUCACUAGUAUCCUGCAUAUUCCACUUUUGGAUUCACUACGUUUUGUCAGUAUUCCUUCAGAAAUACUGCAUACAGAAUUGAGUGUUCUCUGUGUGGUCUGAGGUACACAAUACAGUAUUUCUUUUAUGAAUAAGAUCUGUUAGUGCACCCUUCCUGAUUCCACUAACUUUCUCUUUAUCAUCAGCACUGUUGGUUCAUGUUCAGUCACAGUCCCCUGAAACCCUGUUUGUCCAAAGUAUGUCGCAAAACUUAUGAAGUUAGAUUCAGCAGUCAUUUAUUAAAUACCUGUUCACUACUAGAUGUGUUCAUAAAAGUUUAAAUUUGUACAGUUUUAACGGGCUAUGAAUUGGGCAUUACUAACCUAUUUUACAAAAAGAAAAUGCAAGGUUCCAUGUAUUGAAAUAACUUACGAUAAGGAUUCAAAAGCCAGGAUUCCAUCUUGGGUCUCCCAGAUUCAGAUAAAAUUGGAAAUAAAAAUUGGAAUUUACUAUUAAACUCUUUUGCACUCAGGAUGAUGUUAGAGCCCAGGAGAGAUACCUAGAAUGUUUUAUGUUUUUGUUAAGUGCAGUAAUGUCUUAUGUAAACUAGAUUAACUGAAAUUACAGCAUUAGGAUGGAAAGUAAAUGUGCCCAAACAAAAAUGUCAAUGGAAUCAAAAUUGGAGUGACAAAUCAUUUAGAAGGAGAUGAGGGGUGAAAACCAUUAAUGCAUAUAAAAUUUGUAGCUUUUUUUUAUUGUGUUUUAAAUUUUUAUUAAAUUUUUACCGAAUGUGAAAACUAAGGUAUUUAAAGAUUUCUGUGUACUCAGAUUCAUCUUCAAGUUGACUUUUUAAGCUAAACAUAUUUAUUGUCUAACCUUUCAAAAUGACUGUCUUUUUCUUAGAAGGCAUAAAAAUGAAAAGUUGAUAUAUAUCAAAAGCUAAUAAAGAUAAUUAAAAGCCUACAAUCCAGAAUAUAAACCACCUCACUUGGAACUAAGACUUUGAUAAAGCUUCUGUUUCCUGGGUGAAAAUGAGGAGGAAAGGAGAGAGAUUAUGGAAAUUUGAAGGGAGAGAAGAGACAUCUGUCUGAUGGUUUUCUAGAAGAACGAAAAAAUGAAUAGAUCAAGGCUGCCAAACAGCUUCUGGACCAAUUUUAGUCUUAACCUACUUGAUGAAGAGGUCUUUUGAAAGUUGUACUGCAAGGGAUGCAAUGCUGUCUGUAAAUUAACGCUUUUACAAAGAUCAUCCAGAUGUGAAGAAGGAACAUGUGGGGCUAUUACAACUAAAUGAAAACUUUCUUGUUUUAAUCCUGAGAAUGAAUUAAAGAAAAAUUGAAAUAUUGGCAAAGUGAGAAACUAUAGAAAAACUGUUAAAUUGAAAUUUAUCAUAACAGCAUACAGCUUCUUUCCAGUCUCUUACUAAAGAAGAGGAAAUGGCCUGUCAGUACCUAAUGAAGCCCACAUUUUAGGUAAUUCAGUGAAACUGGGAAGUUUUAUUUGUAUGAGUUAAUACACUUCCAUCCUUGUAUAAUUUUGAGCACAUAAAGUGCAAAUAGUAAAAUAAAAGUUAUACCCUUUAAUGACCUUAAUUUGGUUAUUUUACAAAGAAAAAUAACUAUGGGUGUGUAUUAAAUUCAUUUUUUCCAUCUUCUUUGGAAAAAAAAAUCCUCAUUUUUUUCAUCCAGUUUCUUUUAAGUUGAUGCCAUAUAAUUUCAAUAUUGAACAUCUAAAAUCUCUUACAUGGAAUAUGGAUUGAGUUUGGAGCUAACUCAGAGGAUUCAGGCAAGUAUCCAGGAGGUAGCAAGAACAAUAUUUUAUUAGUUGAAUAAGUCAGUUUACAUUCCAUAUUUAAAUAUAGAUCUCUGAAGAUCACACAUAUGGAUAUGUGAUGGUAGAUGUGAAAAUUUGGCUGACUAAAUUCUAUACUCAACUGCAAAGGUUUUCUUUAAUCAAUUGUAUAUCCUUUUGGUUGUUAUAGAAUUACAUGUUGUUUGUAAGCCACUAAGUAUCAUUCUGGAUACAUGCCCAGGUUAGCCAUAAUUGGAUUAAUAAGAUUAAACUUUCCUAACUGCGAUCUCUAAGUUAAUAAUUUAUUUCAAGUUGACAUUCUAAAUCAAUUUUUUUUCCUUUUACAGGUGGAUAUUACUAUCCCUUAUUCAUCGAAAAAGUUUUAAUUAAUUCUAAGUGUACUUUCUCAUUGAGUAUUAACAAAAUGGACAAAAAUUAGUGUCCCAAACUUUUGAGAUAGAUUUGGCUCUAGCAUGUAUUUCGAUACCACCACCGCCUCCCCUCCUAAGGUGAGAACUGACUAUUCCAUGUGUACCUAGACCAUGUGGAGAAAGGACUGAGACUGAAAACAGAAAACAGACAUUGUCCAUAUAGAGCAGAGUGCCUGACCACAGCUCACUCUAGCAAAGGGCAAUAAAUGCCACACCAGAUGAUCUCUCAUCACAAAACUUUACAUCUGACUUACAUGCCUGGUCUGAUGACUUCUUUUUAUGACUCCUAAAUUGUGGAGGCUCCUGAUUUCAGAUGUAUUUUGGAAGCACCCCAAAUUAAUUCCAACUUUACCAUAACCUAAGAACUCCUUGUAAUUGUGAUUUGUAUAUUAAAUUCAAGAGUAAAUUUCAACAUUAGAUCUCCUUUUUAGAAAAUCUUUUUAGGGACAUCUUCCAAUCACUUAUAAGGUAAAAUUAUUGAGGUUCAAGAAUAAGCUAUUUAGGGGCGCCUGGGUGUCUCAGUGGGUUAAAGCCUCUGCCUUUGGCUCAGGUCAUGAUCCCAG